GGGGAUGUAGUUCAGUGGUGGAGCACUUGCCUAGCAAGCAUGAAGCCCUGCGUUCCAUUCCCA
rnacentral:tRNA from 1 species